UCAGACGAUGCGUCAUGCAUAUCAAUAAGCGGAGGAAAAGAAACUAACAAGGAUUCCCCUAGUAACGGCGAGUGAAGCGGGAAGAGCUCAAAUUUGAAAUCUUAAAGGGUUUCCCUUUACGAAUUGUAGUUUAAAGAAGUGUUUUCUGUUGAGGUUUUGGUAAAAGUUCUUUGGAAUAGGACAUCAUAGAGGGUGAGAAUCCCGUAUUUGACCUUUACUUUCAACUUUGUGAUACACUUUCAAAGAGUCGGAUUGUUUGGGAAUGCAGUCCAAAAUGGGUGGUAAAUUUCAUCUAAAGCUAAAUAUUGGCGAGAGACCGAUAGCGAACAAGUACCGUGAGGGAAAGAUGAAAAGAACUUUGAAAAGAGAGUUAAACAGUACAUGAAAUUGUCAAAAGGGAAGCGUUUGACACCAGUGUUGUUUUUCUGAAAAUCAAUUAAAGAACUGUUUAUGCUAAGUUGUUUAGACUUUAUCAGCUAACUGUUUAGUUUUGAGCUUUUCUUUAAUGCACUUUUCAGUUAACAAGUCAACAUCAAUUUCUUUGCUGUAAAAAAGCUUGAGGAAGGUGGCUUGAGAUUCGUCUUAAGUGUUUAUAGCCUCUUGCCUAUGCAGUCGGAGAGAUUGAGGUCUGCAGCGUAGAUCCUUCGGGGCUAAAUGCAUUUGUGCUAAGUUAUAGCAUUUUAUAGACAACUUGUUGACUAUGAUUUGUCUUGUAGCUUACUCGCUUAUGUUAUUUUACCUACGCUUAGGAUGUUGAGCGCAUGUCUCUCUCU
rnacentral:rRNA from 1 species